GCCUUCCAGGAGCUGGGACCAACUGCAACCAACCAGAGGAUAGAAUGAGAAACAUUUCUGGGUUUAGGUUAUAUUUCCUAUAUCAUUACUCUAUCUGACAAACAUAGGAUGCCAUUAUAAGAUGGGAUCUCUUGAGAUACUUGAAAUUUGACAACCAAUACAUUUUCCAAAAAAUUUCACAGCGCAGCGGCUCUCCCUUUCGAAUUUAUUCGAAAGAGAAAAUCGAUGAAAGGAGCUCAACAUCAA
rnacentral:misc_RNA from 1 species